rnacentral:lncRNA from 1 species
GUUUGGCUGUUUUUAUCGACCCCCCACCCACGUGAUUUCCUGUAAAUAUCACGCGUAAAAGCGAAACAGAAAGUAGACAGUUGGAAAUCCCCAUUUUGUGAACAGACGCACUGACACAAGCCGGUGCUGAAGUGUGUGACGUCAAUCAAAAAUGGCUUCGAAUAAUAAACAAAAACUGCAGAGACCAGAGUCACCAGAUUCCAGCAGUGAGUCGGAGGAGAGUGUUUUGUCACGAUUAACUCGUCUGGGAUUCUACCAUGAAUCCUACGAUCAACUACCGUCGGCUGUUUCCCUGAGGAGUGACAAUUCCAAAGGCAUGCCCCCAGACUUCAGAGAAUCAGGCCCAUACUCGUAAGAACAAGCUUUAUAAUGUUAGAGGCAAAUAAAACGGACCAAAUCAUCUUUCAGGGUUCCAGUGGAG